AUGGCGUUGUGGGCGGGGCUGGGGCAGGCGGCGACGGUUGCGCAGCUGGUUGGGGUGGACGCCGGCGGGCUCAUCUCCCUCAUCACGCAGGCGGCGUUGACGGCUCGCCAGAACAAGAAGGCCUGCGAGCAGCUCUCACGCCGCGUCCACAUGAUCGCCGACCUGCUGCCGCACCUCCAGGAACCGGAGUUGAUGCGCCGGCCCGAGUUCCAGCGGCCUCUGGCCGGGCUGGGCGACACGCUCCGGGAGGCGCACGACCUCGUCAUGGUCUGCCAGCGGAAGAGCCGCUUCUACCGCUUCUUCAUGUCCGGGAGGCUGGCUGACAAGUUCAGGGACAUCCAAACGUCCACCUCCCAGUCCCACCCAAUCCAUGUCUUGGAGGGUGUUGCCAGGUUCACGCUGGCAGAGAUCGCGGCGGCGUCCAACAGCUACGCCUUCUUCACCAAGGUCGGCAAGGGCACCUCCGGGACGGUGUACAGAGGCAGGCUCCGCGACGGCAGGGACGUGGCCAUCAAGCGCAUCAGCAAGACAGCGCAGGACAGGGAGAUGGUGCUGCGCACGGAGCUCGCCGUCGUCCCGCACCCGCGCCACAGCCACUUCGUGCGCCUCCUCGGCUGGUGCGCGGAGGAGGACGAGCGCCUGCUCGUCACCGAGUACAUGAGCAACGGCUCGCUCCACGACCACCUGCACGGCCGCAAGCCGCCUUCCUCGCCGGUGACGGCGUCCUGGAAGACGCGCGUCGAGGUGCUCCUGGGCGCGUCGCGCGCCAUCAAGCACCUCCACCGCAGCUUCGUGCCGUCGGUCAUCCACUGCAACAUCAAGUCGUCCAACAUCCUGCUGAACGCUAGCUGGACGCCGCGCUUGUCGGACCUAGGCUUCUCGGUCCGGCACGAGACGGGCGAGGGGGAGCACCACUACCAGUACCAGCUGCAGGUCGUGGGCAAGGGCGGCUACAUCGAUCCGGAGUACUGCCGCACGGGGCGCCUGACGCCGGCGACCGACGUGUACAGUUUCGGCGUCGUGAUGCUGGAGGUUUUGACGGGCAGGCCGCCGGUCAUAACUACUCGGGGCGAGGAGGAGCAGGGCGAGGUCCAGACGGACCUGGUGCACUUCGCGCUCCCACUUAUCGAGGCCGGCGAGCUGGACAAGGUGCUGGACGGGCGCCCGGAGCCGCGGCCGACGCCGAUGCAGAUCGAGGCGCUGCAGUGGGUGGCCAACACGGCGGUGGUGUGUCUGCACCGGCAGUCGAUACUCCGGCCACGGAUAUCAGAGGUCGUGGCUAAUCUCGAGACAGCGCUCAGGCUCGCCACCGGUUAG
rnacentral:rRNA from 1 species